rnacentral:lncRNA from 1 species
UCCUUCAUUACUUCGGGAUCACAACCCUUAUGUUCAAAUGCCAGCCUUAAUGAAGGUCACUUAAUAGAGGUGGCGAGAAGAUGAACUCAGACUGAGGAAACCCAUUCUGCUCCUGGGCGAGCAGGUUAACAUUCUGAAGAAUGAAGGAAGAAUAUCAAGAGGGUGAAACCUACAGGCCAUCCUCAACAUGGGCAAGUCGCUUCACUUCUCUGUGCCUCAGUUACCUCAUCUGUAAAAUGGGGAUGAAGUAUGUGAGCCCCACGUGGGACAACCUCAUUCCCCUGUGUCUACCCCAGCGCUUAGAACAGUGCUCUGCACAUAGUAAGCGCUUAACAACUACCAUCAUCAACUUAUCAUAAUCGCUUUUCAUCAAAACUUAAAAUGGAAUUUCUAAAUUUGCACCUGUUUUCAGUUUCACAACACGUCAGCUUUGACUUUCCAACACUUCCCUCUUUAAGUGACACUAGCCUGGGGUCACCGAAAGUGUGUGGAAGUAUACGACUGCGUUGGCAAAGUGGUGUCCAGAAUUCUAAAGUGUCAUCAGUGGCUGCCUCAGCCUUGACUCCUCCAUUUUUUCUAUUUUUGCUGCCUUCUGCAAGUGGCUGUAAUGCCUAUUAUCACUACUAUUUAUUGAGGAGCUUCUAUAUGGAGAGCACUGUAUUAGGUGCUUGGGUGCAUAGAGAGAUGUAGAAAACAUGGUCCCAGCUGGAAGGAAAACCAGACACCUCAUUAAAGCCUGGGAGUGCACUGCAAGAGCAAAGUGGUGUUUUGUCUCUGGAUGAUGAGAUUGCCUGUCUUUUCCCAGAGCAUGGGUCAGAGGCAAAAGUGUGCAUCAGUCUGUCGUCUGUGUGUCUGGAGAAUUCAGAGGAUUCCCAGAAAUUCACUUUUCAGCGCUGCUAUCGUAAGUCCGACUCUUGGCAGGGAUCUUUUUGGGCUACUCCUACUAAGAAGGCUUUCUUCUUGAAUUUGUAGAAAUAGAAAAUUCCUUCUCUUCCUUUGAAACAUUUGUUGAUGUGAGAGCGUAACUUGAAGGCCUUUGAAACAUUGCUUUAAAAAGGAAAGAUUCCUAAGGUAUUGAACACAUUUACCAUUGGAUCAAACAAGGAGCUGUCUUAUCGAAUAGUGCUGUAACAAGUGGAACUUUAGGCGAUCUAUUGAAAACAGUGAAAUAGGCCACUCUGUUGUUUUUCUGAAGAAAAAAAAAUCCCUGAUUUCAUGAUCUGAGAAGAGUCUCCC